rnacentral:rRNA from 1 species
GACGUAGGGCGCGAGCGUUGUCCGGAUUUAUUGGGCGUAAAGAGCUCGUAGGCGGUCUGUCGCGUCUGCUGUGAAAACUCAGGGCUUAACCCUGAGCUUGCAGUGGGUACGGGCAGACUAGAGUGCGGUAGGGGAGACUGGAAUUCCUGGUGUAGCGGUGAAAUGCGCAGAUAUCAGGAGGAACACCAAUUGCGAAGGCAGCUCGCUGGAACGUAACUGACGCUGAGACGCGAAAGCGUGGGGAGCAAACAGG